rnacentral:rRNA from 1 species
CCUACGGGUGGCAGCAGUGAGGAAUAUUGGUCAAUGGGCGCGAGCCUGAACCAGCCAAGUCGCGUGAGGGAAGACGGUCCUAUGGAUUGUAAACCUCUUUUGUCGGGGAGCAAAAGACGCCACGCGUGGCGUUCCGAGAGUCCCCGAAGAAACAGCAUUGGCUUACUCCGUGCCAGCAGCCGCGGUAAUACGGAGGAUGAGAGCGGUAACCGGAUUUAUUGGGUUUAAAGGGUGCCCAGGCGGAAGAUCAAGUCAGCGGUAAAAUUGAGAGGCUCAACCUCUUCGAGCCGUUGAAACUGGUGUUCUUGAGUGAGCGAGAAGUAUGCGGAAUGCGUGGUGUAGCGGUGAAAUGCAUAGAUAUCACGCAGAACUCCGAUUGCGAAGGCAGCAUACCGGCGCUCAACUGACGCUCAUGCACGAAAGUGUGGGUAUCGAACAGGAUUAGAUACCCUAGUAGUC